UACGUAGGGCGCAAGCGUUGUCCGGAAUUAUUGGGCGUAAAGAGCUCGUAGGCGGCUUGUUGCGUCAGCUGUGAAAACCCGCAGCUCAACUGUGGGCUUGCAGCUGAUACGGGCAGGCUUGAGUUCGGUAGGGGAGACUGGAAUUCCUGGUGUAGCGGUGAAAUGCGCAGAUAUCAGGAGGAACACCGGUGGCGAAGGCGGGUCUCUGGGCCGAUAUUGACGCUGGAGGAGCGAAAGCGUGGGGAGCGAACAGG
rnacentral:rRNA from 1 species